CACUUGCCAAACUCAAGAUUUCUAUUUCAUGAAAGCAUCGCUGUCUUUUUCUAUCACUUAUCAUCCUAUCCAAAGGAUAAGUUGGAGCGACUCACAGUCGUCUGAUAUCAUUCCUUCUUUGUUCCUGUAAUCAGUGCACUUGCCAAACUCAAGAUUUCUAUUCCAUGAAGUGCCGCUGGCCUUAUCUGUCAACUUAUCAUCCUAUCCACCGGAUAAGUUGGAGCGGCUCACGGUUGAUCUUCCUGGAGACUCCGCGACAUUGAGUACAGGCAAGAACAGUAUGCCGCCUUCGAUUUUCUAGGGUUACGAUUAAUUUGCUACCCAAUUUGUCAAUGUCAGGGACGGAUUACCUCGACGGCAUCUUCCUGCUUAUCGAGAUCCCCGCCAAUCACCAUGAGCGCUCGAUGUUUAGCCAGUACCCUGACCUCACUGUUGGCUGCGAGGUGAAGAACCUCCAUGUUGAGCUCAUUGCAGAUCCUACCAUUGCCGCCUCGUCGGCCACCGUCCGCUUGACCGCUUCCACUGCCCCACCACCGUGUGCCUCUCGCUGCGCCGCGUCAAUUUCUCCGACCUCCAUUGCAGGGCCGUGCACCCAUGCUCCGUCCCCGAGAUCAUCUGACUGCACUUCAUCCAGUAUGAUGACACAUGCAUGGCAAGAAUGUUGGUGUUGUGCCCCUGUCUCCGCAUCCUCGGCCGGCACUCCUGCAAUGACUUACGUGCAGUCUGUGUUACUGUGGUCAUGGUAAUGAACCUGAACGGCAGAAGUUGUCAUUAAGCACCAACGCAGGUAGACAGGACCUUAUUCUGCAAGAUUAAACUGGGAAACCUUCGGGGGUCAUCGCCGUGAUGGUGGUAUGUCACUCUUCCCACCAACAAGGGAUACCGGACAAGGAGUUUUUCUUACUACACUUCUGAACAUUUUCGUAAGGGCCGUGUUGGAGGCGGAGUGGAGCUAAAAACAAAGACGACCAUUGUUUCCAUCCGCAGGUGUAUAUAUUUGUCUAAUGUCUUUCGGUUUCUAAUAGUAGACGAGGGGUGUUUGAUUGAAGGAGAUUAAUGAGAGAAAAUGUGACAGAUUGUAUACCGCAAUGAUAUUAGAAACCAUACUCAUGGUGCCAGAUGGGAGGGACAAAAGAAAUACAUUCACAUUGGUCCAAACUUAGCAUACGUUGUGCUCUAUGCAUUUGACGAAAUAUAGCAACUCAUAUGCACA